rfam:Listeriaceae bacterium FSL A5-0209 contig000011, whole genome shotgun sequence.
CAGUCCUUUAACAUAGUCCAGAGAGGCUAAGAAGGUAACGUGAUUUGGGAGUUUCUAUGCCCAAUUGGAUUCUAUACGUAUACCCUUUGCUGCGCUCUUGGCAGAGGGUUUUUAUU